GAUGAACGCUGGCGGCGUGCCUAAUACAUGCAAGUCGAGCGAACAGACGAGGAGCUUGCUCCUCUGACGUUAGCGGCGGACGGGUGAGUAACACGUGGAUAACCUACCUAUAAGACUGGGAUAACUUCGGGAAACCGGAGCUAAUACCGGAUAAUAUAUUGAACCGCAUGGUUCAAUAGUGAAAGACGGUUUUGCUGUCACUUAUAGAUGGAUCCGCGCCGCAUUAGCUAGUUGGUAAGGUAACGGCUUACCAAGGCGACGAUGCGUAGCCGACCUGAGAGGGUGAUCGGCCACACUGGAGCUGAGACACGGUCCAGACUCCUACGGGAGGCAGCAGUAGGGAAUGUUACGCAAUGGGCGAAAGCCUGACGGAGCAACGCCGCGUGAGUGAUGAAGGUCUUCGGAUCGUAAAACUCUGUUAUUAGGGAAGAACAAAUGUGUAAGUAACUAUGCACGUCUUGACGGUACCUAAUCAGAAAGCCACGGCUAACUACGUG
rnacentral:rRNA from 1 species